rnacentral:lncRNA from 1 species
CAGCAACGUAUGUACAUAGGUAUAUAUUUAUAGAGACUUGGCGUUCAAUCUGUGAGGGAGAGGGAGACGGAGAGAGAGAGAGAGAGAGAAGAUGAGAAAGAAAAAUGAGAUAAUCGAGAUCGGAAGAG